rnacentral:rRNA from 1 species
GCGGCAAGAGCUCAAAUUUGAAAUCUGGCUCCUUCGGGGCCCGAGUUGUAAUUUGUAGAGGAUGCUUCGGGCGUGGCCGCGGUCUAAGUCCCCUGGAACGGGGCGUCGCAGAGGGUGAGAAUCCCGUCUUCGGCCGGCCGGCCCCGCCCGUGUGAAGCUCCUUCGACGAGUCGAGUUGUUUGGGAAUGCAGCUCUAAAUGGGUGGUAAAUUUCAUCUAAAGCUAAAUACUGGUCGGAGACCGAUAGCGCACAAGUAGAGUGAUCGAAAGAUGAAAAGCACUUUGAAAAGAGAGUUAAACAGCAUGUGAAAUUGUUGAAAGGGAAGCGCUUGCGACCAGAGUCGGCCGCGGGGGCUCAGCGGGCACUCGUUGCCCGUGCACUCCCCCGUGGUCGGGCCAGCGUCGGUUUCGACGGCCGGUCAAAGGCCCCCGGAAUGUGUCGCCUCUCGGGGCGUCUUAUAGCCGGGGGUGCAAUGCGGCCAGUCGGGACCGAGGAACGCGCUCCGGCACGGACGCUGGCUUAAUGGUCGUAAGCGACCCGUCUUGAAACACGGACCAAGGAGUCUAACAUCCACGCGAGUGUUCGGGUGUCAAACCCGUCCGCGCAGUGAAAGCGAACGGAGGUGGGAACCCUCAAGGGUGCACCAUCGACCGAUCCUGGA